GGAGGGAGGAGUCUGCUAGCUUCUUUCUGCCAAGAUGAGCUGCGAUAGUCCUUUUCCUCCCUCCCCUCCCUUCUUUCUUCCCUCGUUUCUUUUCUUUUUGUCCCCUUCCAUGUCAUUACGGAGAAGGGCACUGGAGGCUUACUGAAGAGCUUUGAGAAAUAGCAUUGAAGGCCCAGAGCAUUCCUUGUUUCCAGAUAUCAAGCUAAGGCUGUACCCUGGCUAUGAAUAGCCCAGCCUCCUGUGGUGUCCAAGCCUGGAGAGAUUCUGUCUCAUUCACUCCUGGUAGACUGGUUAACCCGGCCACAGGCUCCUUUUGCCUUCAGCACUCCCCAACAG
rnacentral:lncRNA from 1 species